rnacentral:rRNA from 1 species
UACAGAGGGUGCGAGCGUUAAUCGGAAUUACUGGGCGUAAAGCGCGCGUAGGCGGCUUUGCAAGUCGGGUGUGAAAUCCCCAGGCUUAACCUGGGAACUGCAUUCGAGACUGCAUUGCUAGAGUAUGGGAGAGGGAAGUGGAAUUUCCGGUGUAGCGGUGAAAUGCGUAGAUAUCGGUAGGAACAUCAGUGGCGAAAGCGACUUCCUGGACCAAUACUGACGCUCAUGUGCGAAAGCGUGGGGAGCAAACAGG